UACGUAGGGACCGAGCGUUGUCCGGAUUCAUUGGGCGUAAGAGCUCGUAGGCGGCUAUUCAAGUCGAACGUGAAAUCUCGGAGCUCAACUCCGAACUGCGUCGAUACUGGUAGCUAGAGUCUGGUAGGGGAUCUGGAAUUCCUGGUGUAGCGGUGGAAUGCGCAGAUAUCAGGAGGAACACCGGUGGCGAAGGCGGGAUCCUGGCCAGUACUGACGCUGAGGAGCGAAAGCGUGGGAGCAAACAGG
rnacentral:rRNA from 1 species